AUAGCUCGCUACAGUUCGCUCCAUGUGGAACACAGUCUGGAUCCAGGUGCUACAGGAGUGUGUAAACACUGGGCCUGCUGGACUCAGCGGCUGAAGCCACCUGCUUCCCAGAACACGUGGCCCCAGUUCCUGUUCAGCUGGGGCUCUUUCUGUAAGGCUUUGCAAGCCCCGCUGCUCCUUCUGUGCUCAGGAAGAAGGAAGCCAAGAUAGAAAGAGACCCUCCACAGAAGCACCAAUAUACCCAAAGGAGCCUGGAGGGAGGGGUCAAGAGUCUGUGGUCUGACUACCCAAGGGCUGCUCUGAGCUCCCCUCCUCCCAAGCAUCCCUGAAGAGAAACCACUCUCUGUCCAGAGAAGAGGGAAAGCAAACCAUCUGUCCUACAGGCCACCUCAGCUCAUGCUGGUUCUGUCAGCUGUGGUUAUAUGUGCCCGGUUGUGACACAGCCCAGGCCUAUCUAUCCUGUACAUACACCCUGAUUUCCUGGUCCUCAGGCUGGAACUGGUGCUGGGAAGGCCCCCGAAGGGAACUGCCCAGACUGAGUCCAGAACUUUUCUAAGACAAGGACACCAUUGAAUUCAUCUUUGUAACCUGAACACCGAGCUCCACUCUCUGGCAUAUAGUAGAUUGUCUUUAAAGUGACUUAAAUGAAUGAAUAAAGCUGUGUGGUUUUGUCCUCUCAGAUCCUGGAAACUUCCCUGUCUCAUUCAAGUCUUAGCAGAGGGGUCACUUGCCUCAGCCUCACAGCCUCUCUGCUGCCCUAUUCCUGGAUAAACAUGGGCCAACAAACUGCAGUGAGAUCAUCCUUGAGGCACACUGGGACUUCCUCAUGAAUGACAGAAACCAGGUAAGCUGAGGAAGGCAGGAUGUGGUCCCCAGUUCAAUUCUCCAUGUUUUAAGGGAGAUAGCAAGGCCAGGCUUGGAAUCUAGUGCUGAAGAAUCCAAGAUGGUUGAGGUGAACGGCUGCAGGUGGUUCUAGACAAUGUGGGAACCCUGAAGUUAGAUGGGAUCUGAGCUGGUUUCCCCUUUUUUCUGAAAGGAGGACUCUGAAGAGGACAUAGUGUGUAGCCUAUGAUGACAAGAGCACGCCAAGGUAAGGAGGAGCAUGGAAGAGCGUGGGGUGUAUCUGGAGACUAACCAGCCACGUGGUGGGUGGGUGGAUGUGGAUCUUGAGCAGCAGGACAAGCCUGGGGAGGAGGCUGGAGCUAGCUUGCAAAGGCAUUAAGGGCUGGGGGCCCUAGAACAGCCUGAUUGGGCAAUGGAGUGAAAGGGUCAAGGUGAUGUCCAUCCUGAGGUCAGAGCACUCUUACAGCUUGGCGGGUGAUCCCUUUAAUGGGGGUGAGGGAAUCAGAUUUGCAUAGAGACUGCCUUAGUCCAGUUGAACUGCUGUUACUGGUAGAAUGGAUUGCUUACAAAUAACAGAAAUUUAUCUUUCACAGUUUUAAAGGUUGGAAGUUCAUGAUUAAGGUGCCAGCAUGGUUGGGUUCUGGGGAAGGCCCUCUUUUGGGUGGCAGACUGGUUUUCUCACUGCUACUCACGUGGUAGGAGGGGACUAGGGAGCUCUCUGGGGCCUCUUUUGUAAGGGCACGAGUCCCAUUCAUGGUAGUUCCAUCUUCAUGACCCAACCACCUCCCAAAGGCCCCACCUCCUAAUCCCAUCACAUUGGACAUUAAGACUUCAACAUAUGAUUUUUGAGGGACAUAUGUGUUCAGACCGGAAUAGAGACCACUAAGGAGACUACAGCAGUGGUCUAGGUGAGAAGCAAUAAAAGCCUGAAUGAGGCAAAUAUCUUUAGGGAAGGAGAGAAGUGAUCCUAUUCAAGAGCCAGGGGGCAGCUAGAAUGGACAACAUUCAAGGCCUGAUCAGGUAAGAGAGACAGGGAAGGUGGGAUGACUCCAGGCUCCCUGCUGGUGGCCACAGUAGAUAAUGAUGCCCUACACAGAGGUGGGGAAUUUGAGGAGAGUGCAAACUGAGGGUAAGAUUGCCAUUCCAUUUUAGACAGUUGGGUUUGAGGGAUCCACUAGGAGAGUUGCUCAGGGUCAGGCCUGGAAUUUCACACAACCACUGACGGGAUGGGUGAAUCUGAGAUUCUGGAACCCUUACAGUCUGUAAGGCUCUCUGGGGUUGGAUGCAUGGGGAGGCGGUACAGAAACCAGCAAGACACAUAGGGCCAUAUAAGGAAGGAGGGAAACAAACAAAGCACUAUCCUUUUGAGCCCCAACUUCACCCAGAACCAAGGAUUGCCACUGUUAGUUUCUUUAGUCUUCAAACUGAACACAUAAACAUCAAGGUUGGGGUCACGGUUCUUGGUUAAAGCAAGCCAUCACCUGUCUCAUGAUCCAAGAUUUUGCUAAGAUAUAUUAGCGUUUGAUUUUCUAAAUCCUAUUUCUGUAAAGUGCACCAAAUUUCCAUCUGGGUCUGGAGGCAGAAAGUUUCCAACUUAAAAUGAAAAGUUGGUCCUCAAGGCAGCCUUUCUCUCAGCUGAGACUUGGCACACUGUGUUGUCAAAGCCUCCUUGUACAAGAUCGGUCGAAUUUCCUCCUUUUACCAAUUUACAUAUUUUUCCUUCCGCCAUGGGAAGGAGCGCUUCAGGAGUUUCUAAUUUCCUUCUACACAGUAACAAAAGGCCACAGGGCCCCCAGUCACCGAGGCUCCCCGGUGCCGAGGAGAAAAUGUUUACGGUACAAUUUAGCCUGCAGCAAAUCCGCCAUCAGCAUUUUUACAAACCUCAGGGAAAGAAGAAGAAACAAAAGCUGUUGAAAUGUGAAAAUAAUUAGAGAAGAGACUUUCCCAGGGAACAAACAUGGCCCUCACUGUACAGAGGGAAGAACAAACAAACUUUGGGGAGGUUAUGGAGUUGUAAAAUCCUUGUUUACUUCUGAAGAAAGAAAUAAAGUUGG